UCUACCCUUUUUUCCACACCUGUGAACUUAUUUGUAGAUCAAAUCUCGAAGAUCGAACAGUAUACUCAGUCAAUGAUAUCGAACCGUAGUUUAAUUACUACUUAAUAGAUGUAGUUGGCCUAUAUACUUAAUAGAGGCCUAUUGAACAGUCUACUUAAUAGAGGGCAGUCAAGGUUAUUCGAACAGUAGUUUCAAUUACUACUUAAUAGAUGGCUCGGGCAACCUAUCGAACGGUCUACUUAAUAGAGGGCAGUCAAGGUUAUUGAACAGUGUACUUUAAUAGAGGGCAGUCAAGGUUAUUCGAACAGUAGUUUAAUUACUACCUAAUAGAUGGCUUGGGCAACCUAUCGAACAAGUCUACUUAAUAGAUGACUAGUUGCCUUGAGAGAUCUGUGUUUUAUCCUAAUCACACUAUUGUAUGUCUACAGAAUGUAUUCUAUUUUAUUACAACUUUCAGCAAUGGAUCUCUUGGCUCUCGCAUCGAUGAAGAACGCAGCGAAUUGCGAUAAGUAAUGUGAAUUGCAGAUUUUCAGUGAAUCAUCGAAUCUUUGAACGCACCUUGCGCUCCUUGGUAUUCCGAGGAGCAUGCCUGUUUGAGUGUCAUUUAAUUAUCAAUCCAUUAGUCUUUGAUUAGACUUGAUGGGCUUGGACUUGGGAUUUGCUGGCUAACCAAUCAGCUAUCCUUAAAUGCAUUAGCGAGUGAAAGUCUUUUACUACGUGCACGGCCUCUGACGUGAUAAUGAUCGUUGUGGGCUGGAAGGGUAAUGAAUGAACACUUGCUACAAGUAACAUGUCACGGCCUAUUCAUGUGGGCUGGAAGUGUAGCUUGGUACUUAUGUGGCACGGCCUCAUCCGCUGGAAAGCAUAAGCAGAAAUAAAUAAUUUGACCUCAAAUCAGGUAGGACUACCCGCUGAACUUAAGC
rnacentral:rRNA from 1 species